rnacentral:rRNA from 1 species
AAUGGGUCAGCGACUUAUAUUCUGUAGCAAGGUUAACCGUAUAGGGGAGCCGGAGGGAAACCGAGUCUUAACCGGGCGUUAAGUUGCAGGGUAUAGACCCGAAACCCGGUGAUCUAGCCAUGGGCAGGUUGAAGGUUGGGUAACACUAACUGGAGGACCGAACCGACUAAUGUUGAAAAAUUAGCGGAUGACCUGUGGCUGGGGGUGAAAGGCCAAUCAAACCGGGAGAUAGCUGGUUCUCCCCGAAAGCUAUUUAGGUAGCGCCUCGUGAAUUCAUCUCCGGGGGUAGAGCACUGUUUCGGCUAGGGGGCCAUCCCGGCUUACCAACCCGAUGCAAACUGCGAAUACCGGAGAAUGUUAUCACGGGAGACACACGGCGGGUGCUAACGUCCGUCGUGAAGAGGGAAACAACCCAGACCGCCAGCUAAGGUCCCAAAGUCAUGGUUAAGUGGGAAACGAUGUGGGAAGGCCCAGACAGCCAGGAUGUUGGCUUAGAAGCAGCCAUCAUUUAAAGAAAGCGUAAUAGCUCACUGGUCGAGUCGGCCUGCGCGGAAGAUGUAACGGGGCUAAACCAUGCACCGAAGCUGCGGCAGCGAACGUAUCACCCAAGACAACUUUACGGAGUUGACGAUUGACGGAGCGAAGCGACGUCAAAGCGUUCAUUAAAGUCGAGUUGGCUUAGGGAUACGUUCGUUGGGUAGGGGAGCGUUCUGUAAGCCUGUGAAGGUGUGUCGUGAGGCAUGCUGGAGGUAUCAGAAGUGCGAAUGCUGACAUAAGUAACGAUAAAGCGGGUGAAAAGCCCGCUCGCCGGAAGACCAAGGGUUCCUGUCCAACGUUAAUCGGGGCAGGGUGAGUCGACCCCUAAGGCGAGGCCGAAAGGCGUAGUCGAUGGGAAACGGGUUAAUAUUCCCGUACUUGGUGUUACUGCGAAGGGGGGACGGAGAAGGCUAUGUUGGCCGGGCGACGGUUGUCCCGGUUUAAGCGUGUAGGUGUGUGUUCCAGGUAAAUCCGGUUCACUUUAACACUGAGGCGUGACGACGAGGCACUACGGUGCUGAAGCAACAAAUGCCCUGCUUCCAGGAAAAGCCUCUAAGCAUCAGGUAACAUCAAAUCGUACCCCAAACCGACACAGGUGGUCAGGUAGAGAAUACCAAGGCGCUUGAGAGAACUCGGGUGAAGGAACUAGGCAAAAUGGUGCCGUAACUUCGGGAGAAGGCACGCUGACACGUAGGUGAAGUGAUUUACUCAUGGAGCUGAAGUCAGUCGAAGAUACCAGCUGGCUGCAACUGUUUAUUAAAAACACAGCACUGUGCAAACACGAAAGUGGACGUAUACGGUGUGACGCCUGCCCGGUGCCGGAAGGUUAAUUGAUGGGGUCAGCGCAAGCGAAGCUCCUGAUCGAAGCCCCGGUAAACGGCGGCCGUAACUAUAACGGUCCUAAGGUAGCGAAAUUCCUUGUCGGGUAAGUUCCGACCUGCACGAAUGGCGUAAUGAUGGCCAGGCUGUCUCCACCCGAGACUCAGUGAAAUUGAACUCGCUGUGAAGAUGCAGUGUACCCGCGGCAAGACGGAAAGACCCCGUGAACCUUUACUAUAGCUUGACACUGAACAUUGAGCCUUGAUGUGUAGGAUAGGUGGGAGGCUUUGAAGUGUGGACGCCAGUCUGCAUGGAGCCGACCUUGAAAUACCACCCUUUAAUGUUUGAUGUUCUAACGUGGACCCGUAAUCCGGGUUGCGGACAGUGUCUGGUGGGUAGUUUGACUGGGGCGGUCUCCUCCUAAAGAGUAACGGAGGAGCACGAAGGUUGGCUAAUCCUGGUCGGACAUCAGGAGGUUAGUGCAAUGGCAUAAGCCAGCUUGACUGCGAGCGUGACGGCGCGAGCAGGUGCGAAAGCAGGUCAUAGUGAUCCGGUGGUUCUGAAUGGAAGGGCCAUCGCUCAACGGAUAAAAGGUACUCCGGGGAUAACAGGCUGAUACCGCCCAAGAGUUCAUAUCGACGGCGGUGUUUGGCACCUCGAUGUCGGCUCAUCACAUCCUGGGGCUGAAGUAGGUCCCAAGGGUAUGGCUGUUCGCCAUUUAAAGUGGUACGCGAGCUGGGUUUAGAACGUCGUGAGACAGUUCGGUCCCUAUCUGCCGUGGGCGCUGGAGAACUGAGGGGGGCUGCUCCUAGUACGAGAGGACCGGAGUGGACGCAUCACUGGUGUUCGGGUUGUCAUGCCAAUGGCACUGCCCGGUAGCUAAAUGCGGAAGAGAUAAGUGCUGAAAGCAUCUAAGCACGAAACUUGCCCCGAGAUGAGUUCUCCCUGAGACUUAGAGUCUCCUGAAGGAACGUUGAAGACGACGACGUUGAUAGGCCGGGUGUGUAAGCGCAGCGAUGCGUUGAGCUAACCGGUACUAAUGAACCGUGAGGCUUAACCUUACA